AUUUGAAAUCUGGCGUCUUUGGCGUCCGAGUUGUAAUUUGCAGAGGGCGCUUUGGCAUUGGCAGCGGUCCAAGUUCCUUGGAACAGGACGUCACAGAGGGUGAGAAUCCCGUACGUGGUCGCUAGCCUUUACCGUGUAAAGCCCCUUCGACGAGUCGAGUUGUUUGGGAAUGCAGCUCUAAAUGGGAGGUAAAUUUCUUCUAAAGCUAAAUACUGGCCAGAGACCGAUAGCGCACAAGUAGAGUGAUCGAAAGAUGAAAAGCACUUUGGAAAGAGAGUUAAAAAGCACGUGAAAUUGUUGAAAGGGAAGCGCUUGCAGCCAGACUUGCCUGUAGUUGCUCAUCCGGGUUUUUACCCGGUGCACUCUUCUAUAGGCAGGCCAGCAUCAGUUUGGGCGGUUGGAUAAAGGUCUCUGUCAUGUACCUCUCUUCGGGGAGAACUUAUAGGGGAGACGACAUGCAACCAGCCUGGACUGAGGUCCGCGCAUCUGCUAGGAUGCUGGCGUAAUGGCUGUAAGCGGCCCGUCUUGAAACACGGACCAAGGAGUCUAACAUCUAUGCGAGUGUUUGGGUGUCAAGCCCGAGCGCGUAAUGAAAGUGAACGGAGGUGGGAACCUUUCUGGGUGCACCAUCGACCGAUCCUGAUGUCUUCGGAUGGAUUUGAGUAAGAGCAUAGCUGUUGGGACCCGAAAGAUGGUGAACUAUGCUUGAAUAGGGUGAAGCCAGAGGAAACUCUGGUGGAGGCUCGCAGCGGUUCUGACGUGCAAAUCGAUCGUCAAAUUUGGGCAUAGGGGCGAAAGACUAAUCGAA
rnacentral:rRNA from 1 species